GACGAACGCUGGCGGCGUGCUUAACACAUGCAAGUCGAACGGAAAGGCCCUGCUUUUGUGGGGUGCUCGAGUGGCGAACGGGUGAGUAACACGUGAGUAACCUGCCCUUGACUUUGGGAUAACUUCAGGAAACUGGGGCUAAUACCGGAUAGGAGCUCCUGCUGCAUGGUGGGGGUUGGAAAGUUUCGGCGGUUGGGGAUGGACUCGCGGCUUACCAGCUUGUUGGUGGGGUAGUGGCCUACCAAGGCUUUGACGGGUAGCCGGCCUGAGAGGGUGACCGGCCACAUUGGGACUGAGAUACGGCCCAGACUCCUACGGGAGGCAGCAGUGGGGAAUAUUGCACAAUGGGCGGAAGCCUGAUGCAGCAACGCCGCGUGCGGGAUGACGGCCUUCGGGUUGUAAACCGCUUUCGCCUGUGACGAAGCGUGAGUGACGGUAAUGGGUAAAGAAGCACCGGCUAACUACGUG
rnacentral:rRNA from 1 species